rnacentral:rRNA from 1 species
UACGAGGGGUGCAAACGUUAUUCGGAAUCACUGGGCGUAAAGAGCGUGUAGGCGGCUUGUUAAGUUGGUUGUUAAAUCUCUCGGCCCAACCGAGAAUAGGCGAUCAAAACUGGCGAGCUCGAGUGCAAGAGAGAGAAGUGGAAUUCUCGGAGUAGCGGUAAAAUGCGUAGAUCUCGAGAGGAACACCGGUUGCGAAGGCGGCUUCUGGGCUUGUAACUGACGCUAAGACGCGAAAGCGUGGGGAGCAAACAGG